CAGUCGCCGCGGUAAUACAGAGGGUGCAAGCGUUAAUCGGAAUUACUGGGCGUAAAGCGCGCGUAGGUGGUUUGUUAAGUUGGAUGUGAAAUCCCUGAGCUUAACUUAGGAAUUGCAUUCGAUACUGGGAAGCUAGAGUAUGGGAGAGGAUGGUAGAAUUCCAGGUGUAGCGGUGAAAUGCGUAGAGAUCUGGAGGAAUACCGAUGGCGAAGGCAGCCAUCUGGCCUAAUACUGACGCUGAGGUACGAAAGCAUGGGGAGCAAACAGGAUUAGAUACCCGCGUAGUCCCUGUCUCUUAUAC
rnacentral:rRNA from 1 species